rnacentral:rRNA from 1 species
AGAGUUUGAUCAUGGCUCAGGACGAACGCUGGCGGCGUGCCUAAUACAUGCAAGUCGAACGAGAAUUUCUUACACCGAGUGCUUGCACUCACCGUAAGAAAUUCGAGUGGCGGACGGGUGAGUAACACGUGGGUAACCUGCCCAAAAGAAGGGGAUAACAUUUGGAAACAAAUGCUAAUACCGUAUAACCAUGAUGACCGCAUGGUCAUUAUGUAAAAGGUGGUUUUGCUAUCGCUUUUGGAUGGGCCCGCGGCGUAUUAACUAGUUGGUAGGGUAACGGCCUACCAAGGUGAUGAUACGUAGCCGAGUUGAGAGACUGAUCGGCCACAAUGGGACUGAGACACGGCCCAUACUCCUACGGGAGGCAGCAGUAGGGAAUCUUCCACAAUGGGCGCAAGCCUGAUGGAGCAACGCCGCGUGAAUGAAGAAGGUCUUCGGAUCGUAAAAUUCUGUUGUUAGAGAAGAAUAUGAGUAAUAGUAACUGAUUAUUCACUGACGGUAUCUAACCAGCAAGUCACGGCUAACUACGUGCCAGCAGCCGCGGUAAUACGUAGGUGGCAAGCGUUGUCCGGAUUUAUUGGGCGUAAAGGGAACGCAGGCGGUUUUUUAAGUCUGAUGUGAAAGCCUUCGGCUUAACCGGAGAUGUGCAUUGGAAACUGGAGGACUUGAGUGCAGAAGAGGAGAGUGGAACUCCAUGUGUAGCGGUGAAAUGCGUAGAUAUAUGGAAGAACACCAGUGGCGAAAGCGGCUCUCUGGUCUGUAACUGACGCUGAGGUUCGAAAGCAUGGGUAGCGAACAGGAUUAGAUACCCUGGUAGUCC